rnacentral:rRNA from 1 species
GAUCCUGGCUCAGGAUGAACGCUAGCGGCAGGCUUAACACAUGCAAGUCGAGGGGCAGCAUAAUGGAUAGCAAUAUCUAUGGUGGCGACCGGCGCGACGGGUGCGUAACGCGUAUGCAACCUACCUUUAACGAGGGGGAUAACACUGAGAAAUUGGUACUAACUACCCCAUAAUAUCAUAGAAGGCAUCUUUUAUGGUUAGAAAAUUCCGAUGGUUAGAGAUGGGCAUGCGUUGUAUUAG